UCAGUCGACUCCGUACGGGGAGGCAGCAGUGGGGAAUAUUGCACAAGUGGGGGAAACCCUGAUGCAGCCAUGCCGCGUGUGUGAAGAAGGCCUUCGGGUUGUAAAGCACUUUCAGUAGGGAGGAAGGUAGUGUAGUUAAUACCUGCAUUAUUUGACGUUACCUACAGAAGAAGCACCGGCUAACUCCGUGCCAGCAGCCGCGGUAAUACGGAGGGUGCGAGCGUUAAUCGGAAUUACUGGGCGUAAAGCGCAUGCAGGCGGCCUGUUAAGUCAGAUGUGAAAGACCCGGGGCUUAACCUCGGAAUUGCAUUUGAAACUGGCAGGCUAGAGUCUUGUAGAGGGGGGUAGGAAUUUCAGGUGUAGCGGUGAAAUGCGUAGAGAUCUGAAGGAAUACCAGUGGCGAAGGCGGCCCCCUGGACAAAGACUGACGCUCAGAUGCGAAAGCGUGGGGAGCAAACAGGAUUAGAUACCCUGGUAG
rnacentral:rRNA from 1 species